ensembl:lncRNA novel transcript
UGUGUGUCUGGUAAAUAUAGACCAAAAAGUCAUAUAGUCCUGAAAGACAGAUUCACCAGGACAGGAUGUUGCACCCAACAGUGUAGAAGCAUCAAGGAUGGGGCUGUCGAAACAUACCAAGGACCUUCAACACCAAUCGAUGCAGAUGAAGGGCCAGCUAUAAACUUCUGCAUGCAUGCAGGCUGCAUUUUGUGGCAUCAGCUAUUUCCAGCAUUGCUAAUGUACUGUAGGCAUAUACAUAUGUAUGUAUAUGUAGAUAUAAUAUAUGUGUGUAUAUAUAUAUCCAUUCCCUUUUCUUUCUUUUGGUUGUCAAAUAGUAUGAAGAUCCAAGAUUAUGCAUGAAAUGGUCACAGCACAAUGCAAAAAGUAAAGUGUCCCCUACAACCCAGGUGGCCAAGGGCAUGUUGAAAUUUGCUCUGCUAUAGUUCUGCUUACACCAGCAAUUCUACAGUCAUACAUGGUAGACGCAUGAGA